rnacentral:rRNA from 1 species
AACGAACGCUGGCGGCAUGCCUAACACAUGCAAGUCGAACGAUGCCUUCGGGUCUAGUUGCGCACGGGUGCGUAACGCGUGGGAACCUGCCCUUAGGUUCGGAAUAACUCCCCGAAAGGGGUGCUAAUACCGGAUAAUGUCUUCGGACCAAAGAUUUAUCGCCUUUGGAUGGGCCCGCGUUGGAUUAGCUAGUUGGUAGGGUAAAAGCCUACCAAGGCGACGAUCCAUAGCUGGUCUGAGAGGAUGAUCAGCCACACUGGGACUGAGACACGGCCCAGACUCCUACGGGAGGCAGCAGUGGGGAAUAUUGGACAAUGGGCGAAAGCCUGAUCCAGCAAUGCCGCGUGAGUGAUGAAGGCCUUAGGGUUGUAAAGCUCUUUUACCCGGGAUGAUAAUGACAGUACCGGGAGAAUAAGCUCCGGCUAACUCCGUG